GUCCCGAGCGCUCCAGAGGCGCGUUGGCCUUGGCUCGCGGCAGGAGGACCGUGCAGGAACGUGGUGGCUGUGAUGGCAAGUGCUGGUUUGGGAGGUCCCAUCCAGGACAAUAGCAAAUGCGCAGCCUUCUAGGUGAACUUGAGCGAGUUUGUCCAGGACUAUGCCUAAUUAGGCUUGAACUAUCUCCAAGGGCAGAGACACCACAGCUUCUCCAGGGCAUGAUUCUCCUGUGGCAAUGCUGCUGGAUGU